AGGGGAACUAGAGGGAACAAAAUUCAUUCGUCUAAUAAUUGAGUGCCUUCUGUACUGUGUAUACUGAGUUUUGUGCAUUAGGAAUUUGGAGACAAAAACAAACAUGGAAACUGAGCCCAUGGAACUUUUGUUUUUUCUGUAAAUUAUACUUCUCAUGCAGCAAACAUUUAUUGGACUUAUUGUUGAUCCAGUCAUUUGGGGGUGUAUUAGUUUUCUCUCACUGUGACACAAUGCCUGAGAUAAUAAGGGACAAGAUUUUUUGGCUUAUGGUUUGAGAGGUUUCAGUCCAUGGUCUCUUGGCCCUGUUGUCUGUAUGGUGGGGAGCACAAAUCAAAGGAAACUGCUCACCUCAUAAUAGCUAAAGAGCAAAGAGGGAUGGGUGAGCGCCCAUAUUCCCUUCCACGCGUGCACCAGUGACCUCGUCCAAGGGGGUUUUCAUCUUUUCAACGUUCCACUACCUCCAAAUAGCACCAAGGAUUAGAAACCAGCCCUUUAACACAUGGUCAUUUGGGAGACAUUUCAGAUUCAAACUCUAGCAAGGUUCACAUAAGCAAAGACGCUGAAGCAAAGGCUCCCAAAGGAAUAUCUGAUCGUCAGGCAAGAGAGAAGCUAAGACCACACAUCUGCCUGUAGGAGUGAGAAGUUGGGACAGACACUGUCCCACGGGAACCUGCCUCCUUUUCGUCCUUCUCCAGACCUGGCCUGGGAAGCGCUGGUGGACAUGUCUGGAAGAUCUGGGGUAUACUAGAGACCUGAAAAGGGACACAGCAGGACACAUGCCCGGGACGCCACCGGCUGCAGUGUGGGUGAGCUGUCCUGUCUGCUGUUCCUGACGUCAGCGAGUUUCAAACUGGCAGAGCCCUUUCUACAGCAAGGCCUAGGAGGGGAGCGCUCCUUCACUGCCAGCGCGGCUCUGUUCUUCUGACAAGUGACUGGCCCUGCUCCCAGCUGCCAACCUCCCCGUCCCCAUUCGGCACACGGGUGUGGGGCCAUGCAGGGAGAGAAGGCGCCUUGGGGCCACGUGCUCACAGCACCUGCUGCCUUUCCAGAGUCCGAUCCUGAAGGUUUCGGGACAUCUGGGAGCCCAGGGUGUGUGCGCCCCGAGGAGGAAGCACUCAGUGACCGCUGGCCCCCAGCUCGCUGCCUCCUGUUGCCCAGCGCUGGGAAGGAGGGCGCCGCAGGCUGUCCCGAGGGGCUCCGGAGCGGCUGCUCUUCUCUUGGCCUCACGCCUCUGCUAACUGUGACAAUUUUUUGCCUCAAGAGGUGUGCACUUAGUGAGCUUGUGGCUGUUUCUUGUAAACAAGUGUGGUUUAUCAUGUUCCUGCUACGUGGCUAGAGAACUGGGUGAGAACUUAAUUUCGUGUACUCAGUAAAGGUUAGACUUACAACGUUCUUCACAUAGGGAGCACCAGCUUUGACUGUAAGAGAGUGGCAGGGCUGGCCGUCCCCAGGUUUAUUUUAUGCACUGACUGCAUCUGAAAUUUCAUUCUUCUCACCCCUUGCAUAACACAAAGCCAACUAAUGGGUUGUGGAUAAAAGAAAAAACAAACUCACCCUCAGAGAGUGAGAUCCAAGGUCUACUUUCUUUCUGUAGAACAGCAUAGCUAAAUAUAUUUAAGGGGAUGCUGUAUAUAAUACAUAAAUAGCUUUCACCUUAAAAUCAUCUUCAGGUAUAAAUACGUUAUGAGCUCGGCUUUAAAAAUAAAUCUUUCAAAA